UACGGAGGGUGCAAGCGUUGUCCGGAUUUAUUGGGUUUAAAGGGUGCGUAGGCGGCCAUUUAAGUCUGGGGUGAAAGCCCGUUGCUCAACAACGGAACUGCCCUGGAAACUGGAUGGCUUGAGUACAGACGAGGGUGGCGGAAUGGAUGCUGUAGCGGUGAAAUGCAUAGAUAGCAUCCAGAACCCCGAUCGCGAAGCAGCUGCCUAGACUGUAACUGACGCUGAGGCACGAAAGCGUGGGGAGCGAACGGG
rnacentral:rRNA from 1 species